rnacentral:misc_RNA from 1 species
GAAAUGCGAUAAGUAAUGUGAAUUGCAGAAUUCAGUGAAUCAUCGAAUCUUUGAACGCACCUUGCGCUCCUUGGUAUUCCUUGGAGCAUGCCUGUUUGAGUAUCAUGAAAUCUUCAAAGUAAAUCUUUUGUUAACUCAAUUGGUUUCUACUUUGGUAUUGGAGGUCUUUGCAGCUUCACACCUGCUCCUCUUUGUUCAUUAGCUGGAUCUCAGUGUUAUGCUUGGUUCCACUCGGCGUGAUAAGUUAUCUAUCGCUGAGGACACUGUAAAAGGUGGCCAAGGUAAAUGCAGAUGAACCGCUUCUAAUAGUCCAUUUACUUGGACAAUACUUUUAUGAUCUGAUCUCAAAUCAGGUAGGACUACCCGCUGAACUUAGGC